rnacentral:rRNA from 1 species
AUUGAACGCUGGCGGCAUGCCUUACACAUGCCAGUCGAACGGUAACGGGCCUUCGGGUGCCGACGAGUGGCGCACGGGUGAGUAAUACAUCGGAACGUGCCCGAUCGUGGGGGAUAACGAGGCGAAAGCUUUGCUAAUACCGCAUACGAUCUACGGAUGAAAGCAGGGGACCGCAAGGCCUUGCGCGGACGGAGCGGCCGAUGGCAGAUUAGGUAGUUGGUGGGAUAAAAGCUUACCAAGCCGACGAUCUGUAGCUGGUCUGAGAGGAUGAUCAGCCACACUGGGACUGAGACACGGCCCAGACUCCUACGGGAGGCAGCAGUGGGGAAUUUUGGACAAUGGGCGCAAGCCUGAUCCAGCCAUGCCGCGUGCAGGAUGAAGGCCUUCGGGUUGUAAACUGCUUUUGUACGGAACGAAAAGCCUUCUUUUAAUACAGGAGGGUCAUGACGGUACCGUAAGAAUAAGCACCGGCUAACUACGUG